UACCUGGUUGAUCCUGCCAGUAGUCAUAUGCUUGUCUCAAAGAUUAAGCCAUGCAUGUGUAAGCACACACUGUUUUAAAAGUGAAGCCGCGAAUGGCUCAUUACAACAGCCACAGUUUAUUAGAACUUACAAUCAUGGAUAACUGUGGUAAUUCUAGAGCUAAUACACGCACAAAAACUUCAACUGAAUUGGUUGAAGUGCUUUUAUUAGAACAAAAACCGAACGGCGUUUGACGAAUGUUGAACGUCGAAACUGUUUGGUGAAUCUGAAUAACUAUUUCUGAUCGCAUGGUCUAGCACCGGGCGACAUCACUUUCAAGUGUCUGCCUUUAUCCAACCUUCGAUGGGUAGUCUAUGCGACUACCAUGGUGAUAAACGGGGUAACGGAAAAUCAGGGUUUCGACUCCCGGAGAGGGGAGCCUUGAGAAACGGCUACCACAUCCAAGGAAGGCAGCAGGCGCGCAAAUUACCCACUCCCAGCUUGGGGAGGUAGUGACGAAAAAUAACGAGACGAUUCUCGUUUGAGAAACGUUAUCGAAAUGAGUACGCUUUACACACGCUAACGAGUAGCAAUUGGAGGGCAAGUCUGGUGCCAGCAGCCGCGGUAAUUCCAGCUCCAAUAGCGUAUAUUAAAGUUGCUGCGGUUAAAACGCUCGUAGUUGAAUUGGGGGUCUUAAAACAACAGUCCCCCCUACAAAAGGGUGUGGGCACGGGGUUGCUUCGAGAUCUUC
rnacentral:ncRNA from 1 species